UACAGAGGUCUCAAGCGUUGUUCGGAUUCAUUGGGCGUAAAGGGUGCGUAGGUGGCGGGGUAAGUCAGGUGUGAAAUCUCGAGGCUCAACCUCGAAACUGCACUUGAUACUGCCUUGCUAGAGUACUGGAGAGGAGAUUGGAAUUUACGGUGUAGCAGUGAAAUGCGUAGAUAUCGUAAGGAAGACCAGUGGCGAAGGCGGCUCACUGGCCCGGUACUGACGCUGAGGUGCGAAAGCGUGGGGAGCAAACAGG
rnacentral:rRNA from 1 species